AUUGAACGCUGCGGCAGGCUUAACACAUGCAAGUCGAGCGAGCGGCGGACGGGUGAGUAAUGCUUAGGAAUCUGCCUAUUAGUGGGGGACAACAUCUCGAAAGGGAUGCUAAUACCGCAUACUAAUAGAUGAGCAUAAGUAGGAGUAGCUGUUUGGUGUGGUAAAGUCCUACCAAGGCGACGAUCUGUAGCUGGUCUGAGAGGAUGAUCCGCCAAACUGGGAAUGAGACACGGCCCAUACUCCUACGGUAGGCAGCAGUGGGGAAUAUUGGACAAUGGGGGGAUCCCUGAUCCAGACAUGCCGUGUGUGUGAAUAAGGCCUUAUGGUGGUAAAGCACUUUAAGCGAGGAGGCGUUACUCGCAGAAUAAGCACCGGCUAACUCUGUGCCAGCAGCCGCGGUAAUUC
rnacentral:rRNA from 1 species